ncrna:unclassified sequences IMES-2 RNA motif
AAUUGACUUAAGAGGCAACUCUUAACUGGCCAGAUAAGGAAAAGCCGAGAGGUUCAAGCUUAUAGGGCAGAAAACUCCGCAAAGUAGCGCUAAACAUAGUGGAGUGGCGGGUUCGGCGGUAGCGCAUACAACGACGAGCCAA